rnacentral:rRNA from 1 species
AUUGAACGCUGGCGGCAUGCUUUACACAUGCAAGUCGAACGGCAGCGCGGGCUUCGGCCUGGCGGCGCGUGGCGAACGGGUGAGUAAUGCAUCGGAACGUGCCCAGUAGUGGGGGAUAGCCCGGCGAAAGCCGGAUUAAUACCGCAUACGACCUGAGGGUGAAAGCGGGGGACCGAAAGGCCUCGCGCUAUUGGAGCGGCCGAUGUCGGAUUAGCUAGUUGGUGGGGUAAAGGCUUACCAAGGCGACGAUCCGUAGCUGGUCUGAGAGGACGACCAGCCACACUGGGACUGAGACACGGCCCAGACUCCUACGGGAGGCAGCAGUGGGGAAUGGUGGACAAUGGGGGCAACCCUGAUCCAGCCAUGCCGCGUGCGGGAAGAAGGCCUUCGGGUUGUAAAGCGCUUUUGUUGGGGAAGAAAUGCUCUGGGCUAAUACCACGGGGGGAUGACGGUACCGGAAGAAUAAGCACCGGCUAACUACGUG